rnacentral:rRNA from 1 species
AGGACGAACGCUGGCGGCGUGCUUAACACAUGCAAGUCGAGCGGAAAGGCCCUUCGGGGUACUCGAGCGGCGAACGGGUGAGUAACACGUGAGCAACCUGCCCUUAGCUUCGGGAUAGCUCCGGGAAACCGGAAUUAAUACCGGAUAUGACUAUGGCCGACAUCAGCCAUGGUGGAAAGUUUUUCGGCUAGGGAUGGACUCGCGGCCUAUCAGCUAGUUGGUGAGGUAACGGCUCACCAAGGCGACGACGGGUAGCCGGCCUGAGAGGGCGACCGGCCACACUGGGACUGAGACACGGCCCAGACUCCUACGGGAGGCAGCAGUGGGGAAUAUUGCGCAAUGGGCGAAAGCCUGACGCAGCGACGCCGCGUGGGGAUGAAUGCCUUCGGGUUGUAAACCCUUUCAGCAGGACGAAGCGAAAGUGACGGUACCUGCAGAAGAAGCGCCGGCUAACUACGUGCCAGCAGCCGC